rnacentral:rRNA from 5 species
ACUUCAGGACGGGGACAACAGUUGGAAACGACUGCUAAUACCCGAUGUGCCGGGAGGUGAAACCUAAUUGGCCUGAAGAAGAGCUUGCGUCUGAUUAGCUAGUUGGUGGGGUAAGAGCCUACCAAGGCGACGAUCAGUAGCUGGUCUGAGAGGAUGAGCAGCCACACUGGGACUGAGACACGGCCCAGACUCCUACGGGAGGCAGCAGUGGGGAAUUUUCCGCAAUGGGCGAAAGCCUGACGGAGCAACGCCGCGUGAGGGAGGAAGGUCUUUGGAUUGUAAACCUCUUUUCUCAAGGAAGAAGUUCUGACGGUACUUGAGGAAUCAGCCUCGGCUAACUCCGUGCCAGCAGCCGCGGUAAUACGGGGGAGGCAAGCGUUAUCCGGAAUUAUUGGGCGUAAAGCGUCCGCAGGUGGUCAGCCAAGUCUGCUGUCAAAUCAGGUUGCUUAACGACCUA